GGGGGAUAACUUGGGGAAACCCAAGCUAAUACCGCAUACGACCUACGGGUGAAAGGGGGCUUUUAGCUCUCGCUAUUAGAUGAGCCUAAGUCGGAUUAGCUGGUUGGUGGGGUAAAGGCCUACCAAGGCGACGAUCUGUAGCUGGUCUGAGAGGAUGAUCAGCCACACUGGGACUGAGACACGGCCCAG
rnacentral:rRNA from 1 species